rnacentral:rRNA from 1 species
GGCAUCGUUGCAAAUGCCCGAUCUGGUCUGAUCUUGGAUGCUAAGCAGUUUUAGGCCUGGUUAGUAUGGGAUAGGAGACAGCUGGGAAUACCAGAUGUCA